UGCUAUUGACACUCCCCCAUUGACACCCCUAUGUGACCCCCCCAGAGACCCUCCCAUUGACCCCCAAGCACUGACUCCCCCCACUUUCCUCUUCCCCCCCCAGGACUACCCCAAGAACCGGCAUCCCGGCUGGAGCAGGGGCUCGGUCGCCUACCACGCAGAUGAUGGGAAGCUGUUCCAUGGCAGCGGUGUUGGGGACCCCUUUGGCCCCCGCUGUUACAAGGGUGACAUCAUGGGAUGCGGGAUCAUGUUCCCAAGGGAUUACAGCCUGGACAGUGAGGGCGACAGCGACGACCCCAGUGACGGGGGGAGGUGCUGGGCCCCGCGGUGCGGAACGGGAUGUACCUGCCCCCCGGGGAGGAGGAGGAGGAGGAGGAAGAGCUGGAGCCUCAGCACGGAGGGAGGAAGGUGGUGGUAAGGAGGGGCCUCCAGGGACCACAGGAACCCCAUUGACCCCAUUGACCACCAUUGAGCACCAUUGACUUCCAUUGAACAUCAUUGACCGCCAUUGACCACCAUUAACCACCACUGACUUCCGUUGACCUUCAUUGACUGCCAUUGAC
rnacentral:lncRNA from 14 species